GAUGAAGAACGCAGCGAAAUGCGAUACGUAAUGUGAAUUGCAGAAUUCAGUGAAUCAUCGAGUCUUUGAACGCACAUUGCGCCCCCUGGUAUUCCGGGGGGCAUGCCUGUCGGAGCGUCAUUGCUGCCCUCAAGCACGGCUUGUGUGUUGGGCCUCCGUCCUCCUCCCGGGGGACGGGCCCGAAAGGCAGCGGCGGCACCGCGUCCGGUCCUCGAGCGUAUGGGGCUUCGUCACCCGCUCUUGUAGGCCCGGCCGGCGCUUGCCGACACAUCAAUCUUUUUUCCAGGUUGACCUCGGAUCAGGUAGGAAUACCCGCUGAACUUAAGCAUAUCAAUAAGCGGAGGA
rnacentral:misc_RNA from 1 species